CCUACGGGAGGCAGCAGUGAGGAAUAUUGGUCAAUGGACGAGAGUCUGAACCAGCCAAGUAGCGUGAAGGAUGACUGCCCUAUGGGUUGUAAACUUCUUUUAUAUGGGAAUAAAAUGUUCCACGUGUGGGAUUUUGUAUGUACCAUAUGAAUAAGGAUCGGCUAACUCCGUGCCAGCAGCCGAGGUAAUACGGAGGAUCCGAGCGUUAGCCGGAUUUAUUGGGUGUAAAGGGAGCGUAGGUGGAUUGUUAAGUCAGUUGUGAAAGUUUGCGGCUAAACCGUAAAAUUGCAGUUGAAACUGGCAGUCUUGAGUACAGUAGAGGUGGGCGGAAUUCGUGGUGUAGCGGUGAAAUGCUUAGAUAUCACGAAGAACUCCGAUUGCGAAGGCAGUUCACUGGACUGCAACUGACACUGAGGCUCGAAAGUGUGGGUAUCAAACAGGAUUAGAUACCCGGGUAGUC
rnacentral:rRNA from 1 species